UUUUCCGUUUAAAGUUACUGAUGCAGAGCAAGGAGUCCCAAAAUAGUCAGUGCGCCAAAACAUCGAUAAAGUGAGCCAAAGGGUGAGUGCGGCGAAGUUCCCUCUUACUGUAGGGGUUGCAUCCAUUUAGGAGUCAGUUGAAGCGUUGCCUUGUGGUACGAAGGUUGAAUCGAAAAGACGUGAAGCCCUGAUUAGUGAUGUCGGAAAAGAAAUAGAGCGACAAUUAGGACUGCCUGCUAGCACAAUUGAGGUGAAGUCUUGUCUUCAAAGCUACUGCAACAGGAGGUUUGUUGACCGUCCGCAUCGAAUGUUUGUUGAUCAUCUUCAUGAACUGUUUGCUAAUAGUCUUCAUUAACUGUUGUUGAUUGUCCUCAUAAAAUGUUUCCUGAACGUCCUCAUCGACUGUUUGCUGAUCGUCUCAUCGAGUGUUUGCUGAUCUUCCUCAUGAACUGUUUGCUGAGGCUCUACGUACUGUUGGUGCUACAAUGCCUGUUCCCACUCACAUGGUCCCUCCACCUAUCCUUUAUCCGGAUUUUCCAUGCUCCUACAGUUUUAUUAUUUAGAAAGAUUCCACCACCAUCACCUUCGCUGCUAAAAACAGCUGCAUCUCAAAUACCUGUUCCACACAGUAUACAUGCUUCACCACUUCCUCCGAAAGUAUUCAGCAGCCUACAUCUGACUACGAGAGACGAAGCAAAAGCUUGGACAUUAGCCUGCGAGAUCCAACUCGACAUUGUUUCCAGUGCCAGAAGAUGUUUUCAAGGAUUGUAACUUCUUGAACUCAUGGACUUUACCUUGGACACUAAUUAAAAUUUUUCACUUUUAGAGAACUAGGUUCCUCACCAGGUGCGUCAAUGAAUUUCUCGGUAAUCCCUCGUCUGUGGCGGGGGAGGGAUGAUGCAGAGCAAGGAGUCCCAAAAUAGUAAGUGCGCCAAAAACAUCGAUAAAGUGAGCCAAAGGGUGAGUUUGGCGAAGUUCCUUCUUACUGUAGGGGUUGCAUCCAUUUAGGAGUCAGUUGAAGCGUUGUCAUGUGGUACGAAGGUUGAAUCGAAAAGACAUGACGCCCUGGUGAAUAAUCUUAGCUUCUCCCCCCCUUAUUGGGUUACUUAGUGUAAUGGAAUCAAUUUGUAAUCAAGAGAAUUUUAAUCAUUAAAAUCUUAAAUUGACUU